rnacentral:rRNA from 2 species
UAAGGGCUCACCAAGGCGACGAUCCCUAGCUGGUCUGAGAGGAUGAUCAGCCACACUGGAACUGAGACACGGUCCAGACUCCUACGGGAGGCAGCAGUGGGGAAUAUUGCACAAUGGGCGCAAGCCUGAUGCAGCCAUGCCGCGUGUGUGAAGAAGGCCUUCGGGUUGUAAAGCACUUUCAGUCGUGAGGAAGGUAGUGUGUUUAAUAGAUGCAUUAUUUGACGUUAGCGACAGAAGAAGCACCGGCUAACUCCGUGCCAGCAGCCGCGGUAAUACGGAGGGUGCGAGCGUUAAUCGGAAUUACUGGGCGUAAAGCGCAUGCAGGUGGUGUGUUAAGUCAGAUGUGAAAGCCCGGGGCUCAACCUCGGAAUAGCAUUUGAAACUGGCAGACUAGAGUACUGUAGAGGGGGGUAGAAUUUCAGGUGU